AUUGAACGCUGGCGGCAGGCCUAACACAUGCAAGUCGAGCGGAUGAAGGGAGCUUGCUCCUGGAUUCAGCGGCGGACGGGUGAGUAAUGCCUAGGAAUCUGCCUGGUAGUGGGGGAUAACGUCCGGAAACGGGCGCUAAUACCGCAUACGUCCUGAGGGAGAAAGUGGGGGAUCUUCGGACCUCACGCUAUCAGAUGAGCCUAGGUCGGAUUAGCUAGUUGGUGGGGUAAAGGCCUACCAAGGCGACGAUCCGUAACUGGUCUGAGAGGAUGAUCAGUCACACUGGAACUGAGACACGGUCCAGGCUCCUACGGGAGGCAGCAGUGGGGAAUAUUGGACAAUGGGCGAAAGCCUGAUCCAGCCAUGCCGCGUGUGUGAAGAAGGACUUCGGAUUGUAAAGCACUUUAAGUUGGGAGGAAGGGCAGUAAGUUAAUACCUUGCUGUUUUGACGUUACCAACAGAAUAAGCACCGGCUAACUUCGUG
rnacentral:rRNA from 1 species